rnacentral:rRNA from 1 species
UACGGAGGGUGCUAGCGUUGUUCGGAAUUACUGGGCGUAAAGCGCGCGUAGGCGGACCUGCAAGUCGGGGGUGAAAGCCCGAGGCUCAACCUCGGAACUGCCUUCGAUACUGCGGGUCUCGAGUCCGGGAGAGGUGAGUGGAAUUCCUAGUGUAGAGGUGAAAUUCGUAGAUAUUCGCAAGAACACCAGUGGCGAAGGCGGCUCACUGGCCCGAUACUGACGCUGAGGUGCGAAAGCGUGGGGAGCAAGCAGG